rnacentral:rRNA from 1 species
GACGAACGCUGGCGGCGUGCUUAACACAUGCAAGUCGAACGCUGAAGCUCAGCUUUUGUUGGGUGGAUGAGUGGCGAACGGGUGAGUAACACGUGAGUAACCUGCCUCCUUCUUUGGGAUAACGCCCGGAAACGGGUGCUAAUACUGGAUAUUCACUGGUCUUCGCAUGGGGGUUGGUGGAAAGGGUUUUUCUGGUGGGGGAUGGGCUCGCGGCCUAUCAGCUUGUUGGUGGGGUGAUGGCCUACCAAGGCUUUGACGGGUAGCCGGCCUGAGAGGGUGACCGGUCACAUUGGGACUGAGAUAGGGCCCAGACUCCUACGGGAGGCAGCAGUGGGGAAUAUUGCACAAUGGGCGCAAGCCUGAUGCAGCGACGCCGCGUGAGGGAUGGAGGCCUUCGGGUUGUGAACCUCUUUCGCUCAUGGUCAAGCCGCAACAAUGGUUGUGGUGAGGGUAGUGGGUAAAGAAGCGCCGGCUAACUACGUG